rnacentral:rRNA from 1 species
CACGUAGGGCGCAAGCGUUGUCCGGAAUUAUUGGGCGUAAAGAGCUCGUAGGCGGCCUGUUGCGUCUGCUGUGAAAACCCGGGGCUCAACCCCGGGCCUGCAGUCGAUACGGGCGGACUAGAGUUCGGCAGGGGAGACUGGAAUUCCUGGUGUAGCGGUGAAAUGCGCAGAUAUCAGGAGGAACACCGGUGGCGAAGGCGGGUCUCUGGGCCGAUACUGACGCUGAGGAGCGAAAGCGUGGGGAGCGAACAGG